GGGUUGUGAGGUUAAGCGACUAAGCGUACACGGUGGAUGCCCUGGCAGUCAGAGGCGAUGAAGGGCGUGCUAAUCUGCGAUAAGCGCCGGUAAGGUGAUAUGAACCGUUAUAACCGGCGAUACCCGAAUGGGGAAACCCAGUGUGAUUCGUCACACUAUCAUUACGUGAAUACAUAGCGUAAUGAAGCGAACCGGGGGAACUGAAACAUCUAAGUACCCCGAGGAAAAGAAAUCAACCGAGAUUCCCCCAGUAGCGGCGAGCGAACGGGGAGGAGCCCAGAGCCUGAAUCAGCAUGUGUGUUAGUGGAAGCGUCUGGAAAGGCGCGCGAUACAGGGUGACAGCCCCGUACACAAAAGCGCAUGUGCUGUGAGCUCGAUGAGUAGGGCGGGACACGUGGUAUCCUGUCUGAAUAUGGGGGGACCAUCCUCCAAGGCUAAAUACUCCUGACUGACCGAUAGUGAACCAGUACCGUGAGGGAAAGGCGAAAAGAACCCCGGCGAGGGGAGUGAAAAAGAACCUGAAACCGUGUACGUACAAGCAGUGGGAGCACCCUUUGGGGUGUGACUGCGUACCUUUUGUAUAAUGGGUCAGCGACUUAUAUUCUGUAGCAAGGUUAACCGAAUAGGGGAGCCGGAGGGAAACCGAGUCUUAAUUGGGCGUUAAGUUGCAGGGUAUAGACCCGAAACCCGGUGAUCUAGCCAUGGGCAGGUUGAAGGUUGGGUAACACUAACUGGAGGACCGAACCGACUAAUGUUGAAAAAUUAGCGGAUGACCUGUGGCUGGGGGUGAAAGGCCAAUCAAACCGGGAGAUAGCUGGUUCUCCCCGAAAGCUAUUUAGGUAGCGCCUCGUGAAUUCAUCUCCGGGGGUAGAGCACUGUUUCGGCUAGGGGGCCAUCCCGGCUUACCAACCCGAUGCAAACUGCGAAUACCGGAGAAUGUUAUCACGGGAGACACACGGCGGGUGCUAACGUCCGUCGUGAAGAGGGAAACAACCCAGACCGCCAGCUAAGGUCCCAAAGUCAUGGUUAAGUGGGAAACGAUGUGGGAAGGCCCAGACAGCCAGGAUGUUGGCUUAGAAGCAGCCAUCAUUUAAAGAAAGCGUAAUAGCUCACUGGUCGAGUCGGCCUGCGCGGAAGAUGUAACGGGGCUAAACCAUGCACCGAAGCUGCGGCAGCGA
rnacentral:rRNA from 1 species